GUUCUGUCCACCCUGAAUUUUCUUUCAGCUGUUGUUGAACACGGGGUAAACCAGGUUUUGUAGCCGUGUGGCGAGGAUGGGUCAUGAAGACUGAGGCACACGAAUGAAGAAAAAGGGAAAUAAAUGUUUGGGGGCGUAAUCCAGCCAUCCAAUCCAGCCAGCCAGAUCCAAUGAAAACAAAUGACUUUCCAAUGAGCGCACAGCGUCGUUAAACCGCGUUGGAGUGGUGCUCCUGUGGACCAGCACUGUCAGCCCUCCUACCAUUGAUGAAUAAAGUGAUGGAAUGUCUCAAAUUAAGAAAUGAAAGGGUUUAAAAUGUCUUUAAUUGGUUGGGUGAAAAUCAAAACAGCAGUUGUACAGUGAUUCAAACACACAUCAACAUACAAUAAACCAAAUAUACAGCUGUCCUUUUACACCUGUCCCUGAUCAAUGAAAAAAUGGUGCAAUAGGCCUACUAUAGUCAGAUCUUAUUGCUGUGAUUCAUUUGUCAUAUUUACACAUUUCUCUCCCACAUCAUCAUUAUAUUGUUAUAAUUCAUUCAGUGAUUAAUCAAUAAUUUUCCUGUAUGUAUCCCUCUCACCUUUGCAAUCCCGAAAGCAUUACAUCCUGAAGUAAAUAUGUAUUUAGGUAUAAGAACUGAAUGAGUGAUACCACUGGACACCC